GCCCGGUUAGCUCAAUCGGUAGAGCGUGAGACUCUUAAUCUCAAGGUUGCGGGUGAGUUUAUACUAAAGCAAUUCCCGGCUUCGAGUU